AACCUUAAACAGAGAAACAGUCGUUCCAUUCUUCCCUCACCAGAACAUGUGUCAUUUCUCUGUAAAAGCCAAAAUUUUCAUGGCCAAUGUUUAAAUCCGAAAACCAAAACGAAAUCCUAACCCAAUGUCCUUCCCACACUCAUCUUCCAUUCUCAGUUUUCUAACAAAUCCUUACUCGUUUUUUUUCUUUCCAAAAAAAUCCCCUGUUUGAAAUCAUUAAAAUCUCAGUUUUGUAACCACAAUAUCAGUUCCGAAAAUCAAACCAGGCCAAUUCCAAAGAUCAACAAAUCAGUUCAAAAGUGGAAGGGAGAAAGAAAACAGAAGCGACCGAGCUACUAUACAAGAAGCUAUUUUGACGUGAGCUUCCGCUUGGACAGGUUCCCUUUUGAUGCCACUUCAUGCUUAUUUGCUAAGGAUUGUCAAAUGAAACAGAAAAUGGAGUCUGAAAUGCACAAGAUUCAGGGGAUGGAGGCAAUCUGUGGUUUACAUUUGGGCAAUCUGUGGUUUACAUUUGGGCUUGAGAACUUGUUCCAUUUAAAUUCAACAUUUGUAAACACACUUGUAAUUCACUUUCGUUUGUGUAACGUUAGGAUAGUGUAGACUUCAUAAAGGAACUUGCAAAUUGUAAUUUGAAACACAAUUUUUAGUUUGCAUUUUAAGCUUCAA